rnacentral:lncRNA from 1 species
GUUCAAAAGCUGUCAAAAUAAAAUGGUGAAUUGAGUUUAAACCAGAAAAGAUAUAAACGUAAUCUUUGGGAUUCAACUUGUAAGGAUGUUCCAAGAACCACUUAGUUGGAGAAGGAAAACUGUGGUAAUAUUUUAUAAGUAUCAGUAAGGAAAUUUACUUAAUGCACAAGAUUUUACUUCAUAGUUAAAUAUAAGCAUAUAAAAGCAAUGUUUAUAAAUAAUACACUAUUAUUUAUUAUAAUACAAUUAUUUUUAUUUGUUUAUAUUUAAAUGAUGUAAAGUGCUCGUCUUUGAAUGUUUGACUGGAAAUAUAAACGAUGUUGUACAUAAUGCAGAUAGCUUAGGCAAAAAAGAGAUUGGUGAAAUGGAGAAUGAGACUAACUAGGGU